AUCGAACGCUGGCGGCAUGCCUAACACAUGCAAGUCGAACGAGAACUGCCGUUCUAGUGCUGCACGGUUGCGUACCGCGUGGUAACCUGCCCUUACGUUCGCAAUAACUCGCCGUAAGGCGUCCUAAUAUCGGCUAAUGUCUCAGGACCAAAGAUUUAUAGCCUUUGGAUGGGCCCGCGUUGGAUUAGCUUGUUGGUAUGGUAAAAGCCUACCAAGGCGACGAUACAUAGCUGGUCUGAGAGGAAGCUCAGCCACACUGGGACUGAGACACGGCCCAGACUCCUACGGGAGGCAGCAGUGGGGGAUAUUGGACAGUGGGCGAAAGCCUGAUCCAGCUAUGCCGCGUGAGUGAUGAAGGCCUUAAGGUUGUAAAGCUCGUUUACCCGGGAUGAUAAUGACAGUACCGGGAGAAUAAGCACCGGCUAACUCCGUG
rnacentral:rRNA from 1 species